AGGCUUAACACAUGCAAGUCGAGGGGCAGCGCGGGGCGGCAACGUCCUGGCGGCGACCGGCGGAAGGGUGCGUAACGCGUGAGCGACAUGCCCGUUGCCCGGGGACAACCGGUGGAAACGCCGACUAAUCCCCGAUGGGACGGAGGCCCUCAUGGGUCUCUGUUGAAAGUUACGGCGGCGACGGAUUGGCUCGCGUCCGAUUAGCUAGUUGGCGGGGUAACGGCCCACCAAGGCUACGAUCGGUAGGGGUUCUGAGAGGAAGGUCCCCACACUGGUACUGAGACACGGACCAGACUCC
rnacentral:rRNA from 1 species